AGAGUUUGAUCAUGGCUCAGAGCGAACGUUAGCGGCGCGCCUAACACAUGCAAGUCGCACGAGAGGGAGCAAUCCUGAAAGUGGCGCACGGGUGCGUAACACGUAGAUAAUCUGCCCUUCGGCGGGGGAUAACGUUCCGAAAGGAGCGCUAAUACCGCAUACAGCAGUUUCUGGUUCGCCAGAGAUUGGCAAAGGCUGGGACCGCGAGGCCAGUCGCCGGAGGAGGAGUCUGCGGCCCAUCAGCUAGUUGGUAAGGUAAUGGCUUACCAAGGCAAAGACGGGUAGCUGGUCUGAGAGGAUGAUCAGCCACACUGGUACUGGAACACGGACCAGACUCCUACGGGAGGCAGCAGUGGGGAAUCUUGGUCAAUGGGCGCAAGCCUGAACCAGCGACGCCGCGUGAGUGAUGAAGGCCUUCGGGUUGUAAAGCUCUGUGGGGAGAGACGAAAGAAUCGGUUCUAACAGGACCGAAGUUGACGGUAUCUCCUUAGCAAGCACCGGCUAACUCUGUGCCAGCAGCCGCGGUAAGACAGAGGGUGCAAACGUUGCUCGGAAUCACUGGGCGUAAAGGGCGUGUAGGCGGGAAUGUAAGUCGGGCGUGAAAUCCCUAGGCUCAACCUAGGAACUGCACUCGAAACUGCGUUUCUUGAGUAUCGGAGAGGAAAGCGGAAUUCCUGGUGUAGAGGUGAAAUUCGUAGAUAUCAGGAGGAACACCAGUGGCGAAGGCGGCUUUCUGGACGGUAACUGACGCUGAGACGCGAAAGCGUGGGGAGCAAACAGGAUUAGAUACCCUAGUAGUCC
rnacentral:rRNA from 1 species